rnacentral:rRNA from 1 species
CAAUGGGGGAAACCCUGNAUGCAGCAACGCCGCGUGAGUGAAGAAGUAUUUCGGUAUGUAAAGCUCUAUCAGCAGGNAAAGAAAAUGACGGUACCUGNACUAAGAAGCCCCGGCUAACUACGUGCCAGCAGCCGCGGUAAUACGUAGGGGGCNAGCGUUAUCCGGAUUUACUGGGUGUAAAGGGAGCGUAGACGGNUUNNCAAGUCUGAUGUGAAAGGCCGGGGCUUAACCCCUGGACUGCUUUGGAAACUGUCUNGCUCGAGUGCCGGAGAGGUAAGNGGAAUUCCUAGUGUAGCGGUGAAAUGCGUAGAUAUUAGGAAGAACACCAGUGGCGAAGGCGGCUUACUGGACUGUAACUGACGUUGAGGCUCGAAAGCGUGGGGAGCAAACAGGAUUAGAUACCCUGGUAGUCCAAGGGCGAAUUC